UGGUAGCCAGGAAACCAAGAGUUGUUUUCGA
rnacentral:piRNA from 1 species